UACGGGGGGAGCAAGCGUUGUUCGGAUUUACUGGGCGUAAAGGGCGCGUAGGCGGCCACCGCAAGUCGACUGUGAAAUCUCUGGGCUUAACCCAGAAAGGUCAGCCGAUACUGCGGGGCUAGAGUGCAGAAGGGGCAACUGGAAUUCUUGGUGUAGCGGUGAAAUGCGUAGAUAUCAAGAGGAACACCUGAGGUGAAGACGGGUUGCUGGGCCAACACUGACGCUGAGACGCGAAAGCGUGGGGAGCGAACCGG
rnacentral:rRNA from 1 species